UGCCAUUGGGCUUCUGCCUUCGGUGAUCUUGUUACCGAUUUCGAUUUUGAUGCCGAUUUUGACUGGUCGCAAAGCGCUGACAAUUCGCCUGAACUGCUGAACGACUGAGCAGCUCGAUGGGAUGGGGCUGUGGCAUGGACACGGGAAUGGAGAUUGGGAUGGAGACGGGGAUGGACAUACAUAAAUCCCCCGAAUGGGCAACAUCGGCGAUCGGAGGCAGCAUCAGAAUGUGUCGAGCCAUUGUCACUGCAUGCCGCGGAUCCACGAUACUUUAUUCAUUUAUUCC
ensembl:ncRNA lncRNA:CR43721 long non-coding RNA:CR43721